GAUGAACGCUGGCGGCGUGCCUAAUACAUGCAAGUCGAGCGAACGGACGAGAAGCUUGCUUCUCUGAUGUUAGCGGCGGACGGGUGAGUAACACGUGGAUAACCUACCUAUAAGACUGGGAUAACUUCGGGAAACCGGAGCUAAUACCGGAUAAUAUUUUGAACCGCAUGGUUCAAAAGUGAAAGACGGUCUUGCUGUCACUUAUAGAUGGAUCCGCGCUGCAUUAGCUAGUUGGUAAGGUAACGGCUUACCAAGGCAACGAUGCAUAGCCGACCUGAGGGGGUGAUCGGCCACACUGGAACUGAGACACGGUCCAGACUCCUACGGGAGGCAGCAGUAGGGAAUCUUCCGCAAUGGGCGAAAGCCUGACGGAGCAACGCCGCGUGAGUGAUGAAGGUCUACGGAUCGUAAAACUCUGUUAUUAGGGAAGAACAUAUGUGUAAGUAACUGUGCACAUCUUGACGGUACCUAAUCAGAAAGCCACGGCUAACUACGUG
rnacentral:rRNA from 1 species